rnacentral:rRNA from 1 species
UGGGGCUGAAGCCGGUCCCAAGGGUAUGGCUGUUCGCCAUUUAAAGUGGUACGCGAGCUGGGUUUAGAACGUCGUGAGACAGUUCGGUCCCUAUCUGCCAUGGGCGUUGGAGAUUUGAGAAGAGUUGCUCCUAGUACGAGAGGACCGGAGUGAACGAACCUCUGGUGUUCGGGUUGUCAUGCCAAUGGCAUUGCCCGGUAGCUAUGUUCGGACGGGAUAACCGCUGAAAGCAUCUAAGCGGGAAGCCUCCUUCAAGACUAGAUCUCCCUGGAGCUUUAAGCUCCCUAAAGUGCCGUUCAAGACUAGGACGUUGAUAGGCUGGGUGUGUAAGGGUUGUGAGGCCUUGAGCUAACCAGUACUAAUUGCACGUGAGACUUGACCAUAUAA